UACGGAGGGUGCAAGCGUUAAUCGGAAUUACUGGGCGUAAAGCGCGCGUAGGUGGUUUGAUAAGCGAGAUGUGAAAGCCCCGGGCUUAACCUGGGAACGGCAUUUCGAACUGUCAGGCUAGAGUAUGGUAGAGGAGUGUGGAAUUUCCUGUGUAGCGGUGAAAUGCGUAGAUAUAGGAAGGAACACCAGUGGCGAAGGCGGCACUCUGGACCAAUACUGACACUGAGGUGCGAAAGCGUGGGGAGCAAACAGGAUUAGAUACCCGGGUAGUCC
rnacentral:rRNA from 1 species